CCUAGGACUUUAUGUCCUCUAAAGAGCCGUUCGAGACUAGGACGUUGAUAGGUUGGAUGUGGAAGCAUAGUGAUAUGUGAAGCUGACCAAUACUAAUUGCUCGUGAGGCUUGACUAUACAACACCCAAGCAGUUG
rnacentral:rRNA from 1 species